GACGAACGCUGGCGGCGUGCCUAAUACAUGCAAGUCGAGCGGACUGAAUGGGAGCUUGCUCUUGUUCGGUCAGCGGCGGACGGGUGAGUAACACGUGGGCAACCUGCCCGCAAGACCGGGAUAACUCCGGGAAACCGGAGCUAAUACCGGAUAACACCGAAGACCGCAUGGUCUUUGGUUGAAAGGCGGCGCAAGCUGCCACUUGCGGAUGGGCCCGCGGCGCAUUAGCUAGUUGGUGAGGUAACGGCUCACCAAGGCGACGAUGCGUAGCCGGCCUGAGAGGGUGACCGGCCACACUGGGACUGAGACACGGCCCAGACUCCUACGGGAGGCAGCAGGAGGGAAUCUUCCGCAAUGGGCGAAAGCCUGACGGAGCGACGCCGCGUGAGCGAAGAAGGCCUUCGGGUCGUAAAGCUCUGUUGUGAGGGACGAAGGAGCGCCGUUUGAAGAAGGCGGCGCGGUGACGGUACCUCACGAGGAAGCCCCGGCUAACUACGUG
rnacentral:rRNA from 1 species